AUGCACGCUGGCGGCGUGCCUAAUACAUGCAAGUCGAGCGAACAGACGAGGAGCUUGCUCCUCUGACGUUAGCGGCGGACGGGUGAGUAACACGUGGAUAACCUACCUAUAAGACUGGGAUAACUUCGGGAAACCGGAGCUAAUACCGGAUAAUAUAUAGAACCGCAUGGUUCAAUAGUGAAAGACGGUUUUGCUGUCACUUAUAGAUGGAUCCGCGCCGCAUUAGCUAGUUGGUAAGGUAACGGCUUACCAAGGCAACGAUGCGUAGCCGACCUGAGAGGGUGAUCGGCCACACUGGAACUGAGACACGGUCCAGACUCCUACGGGAGGCAGCAGUAGGGAAUCUUCCGCAAUGGGCGAAAGCCUGACGGAGCAACGCCGCGUGAGUGAUGAAGGUCUUCGGAUCGUAAAACUCUGUUAUUAGGGAAGAACAAAUGUGUAAGUAACUAUGCACGUCUUGACGGUACCUAAUCAGAAAGCCACGGCUAACUACGUG
rnacentral:rRNA from 1 species